rnacentral:rRNA from 1 species
GACGAACGCUGGCGGCGUGCUUAAUACAUGCAAGUCGAGCGGACCGAUUCCGGGAGUUUACUCUUGGGAAAGGUUAGUGGCGGACGGGUGAGUAACGCAUGGGCAAUCUGCCCCUAAGUCGGGGAUAAGAGGGCGAAAGUUCUGCUAAGACCGGAUACUCUUAACCAGCCACAUGGGUGGUAAAGGAAAGGGAAGCCUUAGGGAUGAGCCAGCGUCCCAUUAGCUAGUUGGUGGGGUAACGGCCCACCAAGGCAACGACGGUUAGCCGGCCUGUGAGGGUGGGCGGCCACUCCGGGACUGAGACACGGCCCAGACUACUACGCGAGGCAGCAGUAGGGAAUUCUCGGCAAUCGGCGGAAGGCUGACCGAGUACCGCCUCGUGAGGGACGUAGGUCUGCGGAUCGAAAACCUUGGUCAUCGAGGACUAUAAUGACGGUACUCGAAGAGGAAGCCCCGGCUAACUACGUG